rnacentral:rRNA from 1 species
GAGUUACGAUUUGAUGCAAGGUUAAGCAGUAAAUGUGGAGCCGUAGCGAAAGCGAGUCUGAAUAGGGCGUUUAGUAUUUGGUCGUAGACCCGAAACCAGGUGAUCUACCCUUGGUCAGGUUGAAGUUCAGGUAACACUGAAUGGAGGACCGAACCGACUUACGUUGAAAAGUGAGCGGAUGAACUGAGGGUAGCGGAGAAAUUCCAAUCGAACCUGGAGAUAGCUGGUUCUCUCCGAAAUAGCUUUAGGGCUAGCCUCAAGUGAUGAUUAUUGGAGGUAGAGCACUGUUUGGACGAGGGGCCCCUCUCGGGUUACCGAAUUCAGACAAACUCCGAAUGCCAAUUAAUUUAACUUGGGAGUCAGAACAUGGGUGAUAAGGUCCGUGUUCGAAAGGGAAACAGCCCAGACCACCAGCUAAGGUCCCAAAAUAUAUGUUAAGUGGAAAAGGAUGUGGCGUUGCCCAGACAACUAGGAUGUUGGCUUAGAAGCAGCCAUCAUUUAAAGAGUGCGUAAUAGCUCACUAGUCGAGUGACACUGCGCCGA